rnacentral:rRNA from 1 species
CCCUUAGAUGUUCUGGGCCGCACGCGCGCUACACUGACGAAUGCAACGAGCUUAUAACCUUGGCCGAAAGGUCUGGGUAAUCUCCAAAUUUCGUCGUGAUGGGGAUAGAUUAUUGCAAUUAUUAAUCUUCAACGAGGAUUGCCUAGUAAGCGCAAGUCAUCAGCUUGCGUUGAUUACGUCCCUGCCCUUUGUACACACCGCCCGUCGCUCCUACCGAUUGAAUGGUCCGGUGAAGCGUUCGGACCGUGGCCUUUGGACGGUUCGCCGUCUGUUGGCUGCGGGAAGUUCGUUAAACCUUAUCAUUUAGAGGAAGGAGAAGUCGUAACA